rnacentral:rRNA from 1 species
GACGAACGCUGGCGGCGUGCUUAACACAUGCAAGUCGAACGGUAAGGCCUUCGGGUACACGAGUGGCGAACGGGUGAGUAACACGUGGGUGAUCUGCCCUGCACUUUGGGAUAAGUCUGGGAAACUGGGUCUAAUACCGAAUAUGAUCAUGCUCUUCAUGGGGUGUGGUGAAAGCUUUUGCGGUGUGGGAUGGGCCCGCGGCCUAUCAGCUUGUUGGUGGGGUAAUGGCCUACCAAGGCGACGACGGGUAGCCGGCCUGAGAGGGUGUCCGGCCAAACUGGGACUGAGAUACGGCCCAGACUCCUACGGGAGGCAGCAGUGGGGAAUAUUGCACAAUGGGCGCAAGCCUGAUGCAGCGACGCCGCGUGGGGGAUGACGGCCUUCGGGUUGUAAACCUCUUUCAGCACAGACGAAGCGCAAGUGACGGUAUGUGCAGAAGAAGGACCGGCCAACUACGUGCCAGCCGCCGCUGUAAUAC